GACGAACGCUGGCGGCGUGCCUAAUACAUGCAAGUAGAACGCUGAAGGAGGAGCUUGCUUCUCUGGAUGAGUUGCGAACGGGUGAGUAACGCGUAGGUAACCUGCCUGGUAGCGGGGGAUAACUAUUGGAAACGAUAGCUAAUACCGCAUAAUAGUAGAUGUUGCAUGACAUUUACUUAAAAGGUGCAAUUGCAUCACUACCAGAUGGACCUGCGUUGUAUUAGCUAGUUGGUGGGGUAACGGCUCACCAAGGCGACGAUACAUAGCCGACCUGAGAGGGUGAUCGGCCACACUGGGACUGAGACACGGCCCAGACUCCUAUGGGAGGCAGCAGUAGGGAAUCUUCGGCAAUGGACGAAAGUCUGACCGAGCAACGCCGCGUGAGUGAAGAAGGUUUUCGGAUCGUAAAGCUCUGUUGUAAGAGAAGAACGAGUGUGAGAGUGGAAAGUUCACACUGUGACGGUAUCUUACCAGAAAGGGACGGCUAACUACGCG
rnacentral:rRNA from 1 species